CUCCUUGAGCUGGAAUGCAAAUAAUGGAAUACUGGUAGAGAAUGUUGUGCAGUUCGGCUUUUGGUCUCUGAAAGGAUAUCCUUUGGGGGCGAAAACUGUUAAUUGAUCUGAGGCAGAGAAGAUAUUGUUUGUGCAUACAGGUCCUUGCAAGAUAAAAGAAACUGUACACUACCAUUAUUGAUUUUGUGUACAGUGAAAUUCAUUUCCGCCCCCCCCCCCCCCCUUCAUUUGAUCUCUUUCAAAGCCAAUGAAGUCAUGAUGAUUGUUUCCCAGCCGCAUUUAAGGACACUGGUGUUUGAAAGAUGGAUUCUCUGUUGUAUCAUAGUAGACAAUUUAUCUAAUGGAAGUCCAAAAUUUCCAACUUGCAAUUUCUGAAA
rnacentral:misc_RNA from 1 species